rnacentral:lncRNA from 10 species
CCACAUGUUUCGUGGUAGCCAGGUCUAUGCAAACCUACCCCCAAGUCCAUGGCAGCUGACAGGCUAAAGAAAGAGGAUGACAAAUCCAGUUUCUUAGAAAGAAACAUUUAAUAGAGACUCACGAACGGAAGCCAUGUCUGUGUCCUGGAUGGUGGCUAGACAAGAUGGCGGAUCCCCACUGCAAAAGUUUCUCUAAGUUUCAAAAGGUCAAGGCCUAGAUCAGCACUAGCAAAAGCAGCAGGAACAACUUUAGUGAAAUCACUAAGACAGAAUUCGCACAAGGAACUCAAUGUCUGUACAAGAGGAUGCAGCAUUCAAGGUUCUAUCUUGGAAGCAGAGACUGUGCCCUCACCAGAUGCUGAACCUGCUGAGCACCCUGAUCUUCCACUUCACCUUCAUCAGAACUACUGGGGCUGUGGCUGAGAUGUCACAUGGCAGAUAGGAUCACAAAUUUCUGUUGUAUCUGGAUGGAGAUCAGCAGGAGGAUCUAUGGGUGAGAAGAAGCACAGUUACAGAUGGAUUCUAGAGCCUGCUUGCUGACACAGGCUUGCAACUGCGGACUUUAUAAGCUUAGUUUUUAAUCUGCUAUCAGCUAGCAUAAUACCAUAAAUGCAUAAGAAACUAAGUAUUCAGUCUUACGAGAAAUGCUAUCUUGACCUGACCCUUUCUCCAAAUAAAUUGACAAAAUAUCUCAUCGUCUAGGAUGCCAGACAGAAAUACCAGUUGCAAUGUUUUGUUGCAUAAAGUUUAUCCUAAUUUAAAUUAGUGGCAUAUAAAGUCAUCAUCUUGCUUGAACAAACAUCUUAUUAAAUUGAGCAUGUCUUUUAUCCCAUGAAAUGAAAUUAAUUUUGAGAUAGUUAUUUUUCAGUUGGAAAUUUAUUGAGUUGAUAGAAAACAAGUUAUAUAGUCUUCCAAAGAAUAUGUUACAUCCAUUUGCAUUUUGUUUUUCUUCAGCAAUGUUUGGUUUUUAGAAAAUCUUACAAGUUAAAUAUACUAAUGUAGAAAUUGA